UACAGAGACUGCAAGCGUUAUUCGGAUUCACUGGGCGUAAAGAGUGUGUAGGCGGUGCUCUAAGUUCGGUGUGAAAUCUCCUGGCUCAACUGGGAGGGUGCGCCGGAAACUGGAGUGCUUGAGCGUGGGGGAGGAAAGCGGAAUUCCUGGUGUAGCGGUGAAAUGCGUAGAUAUCAGGAGGAACACCUGUGGUGUAGACGGCUUUCUGGACCAUAGCUGACGCUGAGACACGAAAGCGUGGGUAGCAAACAGG
rnacentral:rRNA from 1 species